GCGUGGCAUUAGUUAGUUGGUGGGGUAACGGCCCACCAAGGCGACGAUGCCUAGGGGGCCUGAGAGGGUAGUCCCCCACACUGGUACUGAGACACGGACCAGACUCCUACGGGAGGCAGCAGUGAGGAAUAUUGGUCAAUGGGCGCAAGCCUGAACCAGCCAUGCCGCGUGCAGGAUGACGGCCCUACGGGUUGUAAACUGCUUUUGCACGGGAAGAACCUCCCCGACGUGUCGGGGAUUGACUGUACCGUGAGAAUAAGCAUCGGCUAACUCCGUGCCAGCAGCCGCGGUAAUACGGAGGAUGCUAGCGUUAUCCGGAUUUAUUGGGUUUAAAGGGUGCGUAGGCUGGCGGAUAAGUCAGUGGUGAAAUCCUGGCAGCUUAACUGUAGAAUUGCCAUUGAUACUGUUCGUCUUGAGUUCGGUUGAGGUAGGCGGAAUGUGUAAUGUAGCGGUGAAAUGCUUAGAUAUUACACAGAACACCGAUUGCGUAGGCAGCUUACUAAGCCGUUACUGACGCUGAGGCACGAAAGCGUGGGGAGCGAACAGGAUUAGAUACCCUGGUAGUCCACGCCGUAAACGAUGAUCACUAGCUGUUGGCGAUACAUUGUCAGCGGCAAAGCGAAAGCAUUAAGUGAUCCACCUGGGGAGUACGGCCGCAAGGUUGAAACUCAAAGGAAUUGACGGGGGCCCGCACAAGCGGUGGAACAUGUGGUUUAAUUCGAUGAUACGCGAGGAACCUUACCUGGGCUUAAAUGUUGGGUGCAUUCCCGGGAAACCGGGAUUCCCUUCGGGGCUUCCAACAAGGUGCUGCAUGGUUGUCGUCAGCUCGUGCCGUGAGGUGUCGGGUUAAGUCCCAUAACGAGCGCAACCCCUAUCGUUAGUUGCCAUCGGGUCAUGCCGGGGACUCUAGCGAAACUGCCGGUGUAAACCGCGAGGAAGGUGGGGAUGACGUCAAAUCAGCACGGCCCUUAUGUCCAGGGCUACACACGUGUUACAAUGGCCGGUACAGAGGGCAGCUACCUGGUGACAGGGUGCAAAUCUCGAAAGCCGGUCCUAGUUCGGAUUGGAGUCUGCAACUCGACUUCAUGAAGCUGGAAUCGCUAGUAAUCGCGCAUCAGCCAUGGCGCGGUGAUACGUUCCCGGGCCUUGUACACACCGCCCGUCAAGCCAUGGAAGCCGGGGGUACCUGAAGUCUGCAACCGCGAGGAGCGG
rnacentral:rRNA from 1 species